UAGUUCCCUCUUCCUAACCGAGACCUAUGGGGAGGUUAAACACAGUCUCUCAUAUCCACACUGGAGGGUGGUGUGGAGCAUACUUGUAACU
rnacentral:ncRNA from 1 species